UAUAGGUUGGCGCACGAUGUUCAACUCACCUUCCCAAAAAAAGGUUAAAAUCGGCAAUAAGAAGUACAAGUUUCCAUUUGCCAAGGCUACUUUUUCCGAUGCCAAGAAAAUUUGCGAAAAGGACCAGAUGGAGAUCGCAUCUUUGGACAGUCCAAUUGAAGUUGAAAAGAUUUCAGAAUAUUUGCAGUACAUAGAUUUGUUGGAUAAACCAGUUUUCACGUCUUUGAUCGAGGAAGGAGCGAAAUUAUUAUCGAAUUGGGGAACUGAAAAUCCUCCCGGAGGACCAGGUGACUGCUCAGUGCAAAAGGGAGGAAAGUUUUUCAACGGUUCAUGCCAAGCGAAAAACAAUUUCAUCUGCGAAGAUCCCAAAGAGGAUGAGUAAAUUUUGUACUGAUUAAAAACUUACAAUUAGUUACGUCUAACUUGUAUAGGGGCUUGGACUCUUUGUCUUCAAUCGGAGAUUGUAUUUAGCUCUUAUUUAAUUUGUGUUUUCAUUUAACAUAUCGUUAUUAGCGGUUCUGAAUUUUAUUAACGGAAAAAAUAUGCUGAUCCCCGAAGACCAAGCAUCGAUUCCCGAGGCGAAAGACAUUUGCAAGGACGAAGGCUUAGAACUCAUGUCCAUGAGCUCACUCGUCGAACUCGGACCAGUGCAGGACUUUAUCAACG